GAUAGCCGUAGAUAGUCGCAAAGUCGAGGGUGGGAUGUUCAACAAGACGUACUGUUUGGGUAGUUGCAUCAUAAAGUCCCCCCCAAUACAUAGCCUUACCCACAAGAAGUAAAGCUCCCAUGCCUAAAAAGAGAAGGUGAUGACCAAGAAUUAAACCUAAUUUAGCAGGGUCUUCCCA
rnacentral:antisense_RNA from 1 species